rnacentral:rRNA from 1 species
AACCUGCCCAAUGAUUAAAGAUUAAAUAAAACUAAUAUUUUUAUAAUAUAAUUAAAAGGACGCAGUAACCUGACUGUGAUAAUGUAGCAUAAUCAUUCGCCAUUUAAUUGAUGGAUAGUAUGAAUGGUUGAACGAAUUCUUCACUGUCUUAAAAAAAGAAGUCAUGAAAUUAAAAUAAUAGUUAAGAUGCUAUUUAAAAUUGUAAGACGAAAAGACCCUAUAGAGCUUAACUAUUAAUUUCUUUAAAAAUUAAAAAUCACUAGGAAAUUAGGUAGUUUAGUUGGGGCGACUAUCCUCUAAAAAUAACGAGGACAAGCAAUGUUAAUAAAACUUAUUGUAUAAUUAAUAAAUUUAACAAUUACAAAAGUAGGCUAUAAUGACCCGUUAUUAUAAAAAAAUAUAAAUAACGAUCAAUAAAUAAAAGCUACCUUAGGGAUAACAGGAUAAUUUUGUCCUAGAGACCAUAUCGAAGACAAAGUUUGUCACCUCUAUGUUGAAUUAAGAUAUCCUGAUAAUGCAGAAGUUAUCAAAGGUGGGUCUGUUCGACCCUU